CCCGCUUCCACCAAAUUCUCUUACCUCUCCUGCAGGUCUAAUCUCUUGUAUCUGAAAAGUUUUAGCUAAAUUCCUAAUUCUGCUUCAAGUGCAACAAGAACACUUGUGUAAAUCAAUUUCUACCAGCGCCUGGGUAGUAUUCUAAGAAAACUCUAAUAAUGACUUCAUGGUGCAUUAACAGAUGAUUCCCUUUCACAAGCUUCAUGAAACUAAUUCUAUAAAGUGCCAUUCUUUCAACAACUCUAGGAGAAACCCUCAGUCUUCCUGUUUCACAUGUUGAGAGGAAUUUCCUAAGAGAAAAACAUGAGAUUCAGCUUUCCUGUAUCCUUGAGUUUCAUCCUCAAUCUGCAUGCUGGUUUAUCAAUUUUUUUCCCCACAUCACUUCAUUAUAUUUUAUAUCCCUGUGGUCUUCUCAGGGAAUUCCCGCAGGAGUUCCCUGGCUCCUCUCUUCAUUCCUGAGGGCAGUGCUGGAGUUAGAGGGUGACAAUUACUUCCCUGCUUUUCUGCUCCAAGCCCCAAAGCAGUUGACAGGUAGACAAGGGAGGCUGGGGCUCUGAGCUGGGGCCAAGAAUGUCUGCUCUAUUGCUGAUAAAGCUAGACGAAGAGCCCCAGUCUGCACCUAAGAUUUCUCACACAGCCCUAUUUAACAUUUCCCAACCAAACUGCAGGCUCUCCCUUUGCCAAGACAAAGUCCAGUCCCAGGAAACUUCCAGAGACAGAGAAAGCUUGCUUCUUGGAAAGUGAGAAUGGAAGGGGUUGAACUGCACGUGUCCAUUUCUCCAUCUCAAACUCACCAAUUAGAGAAGCAGGAAGAGAAGAAAAGAUGUCAUAUUCCCAACACACAAAGAGGUGGUGGCAAAAUGUCCCGCUGUAGGGCUAAGAUGGGAACUCCAGGAGCAAGCCUUAGCACGACGAGACGGCCAUCUUGCUCAGUGUGCCUCAGAAAGCAGGUGGCUGAGAUGCAAAUCCUGAUUGGCCCUCAGAGACCCGGCAAUGAAACAGCCAGCCAAUCAGGCUCUCCCCUUGGUGCCACGGCCAAGCCCCUGCGAGGUCGCCCUGAGAGCACCAUGAGUCCACUCUCCAGCCUGACAGUGGUUAUCACCAGAUGUGAUGGACUUGGGGAGGGAGCAGCCCCAGAAAGCGCCCCAUUCUUGGGCCUCCUCCUGCACUCACUGGGAAGUAAACAGCGAUGUGAGGCUCCCUGUUCUGGGAAAAAGCUAAUCAAAUGAUCCAACUGCUCCUCAUCUGCAACCCCGAGAGAGGUACCAGGAAAUAGUUUUGGCUGAGAGGAGGGUAGCCACGAAUAAGGGAGGCUGUCACGGAAAACUGCUUUCCCACCUCCCAGCUCCAUCCAGGCCUUAGCCUCUGCACACUGCCCCAGAGCAGGUAUCAGCCAG
rnacentral:lncRNA from 1 species